GAUGAAGAACGCAGCGAAAUGCGAUAAGUAGUGUGAAUUGCAGAAUUCCGUGAAUCAUCGAAUCUUUGAACGCACAUUGCGCCCGCGAGUAUUCUCGCGGGCAUGCCUGUCCGAGCGUCAUUUCAACCCUCAGGGCCCGCCUGCUUCGGCAGGCGCGGCGCUGGUGUUGGGGAUCGGCCUAACCGCCGUCCCCCAAAUACAGUGGCGGUCUCGCUGCAGCCUCCCCUGCGUAGUAGCAACACUCGCAUGCGGAGCGCGGCGCGGCCACGCCGUAAAACCCCCGACUUUCUGAACGUUGACCUCGGAUCAGGUAGGAAUACCCGCUGAACUUAAGCAUAUCAAUAAGCGGAGGA
rnacentral:misc_RNA from 1 species